rnacentral:rRNA from 1 species
AUUGAACGCUGGCGGCAGGCCUAACACAUGCAAGUCGAGCGGAUGACGGGAGCUUGCUCCUUGAUUCAGCGGCGGACGGGUGAGUAAUGCCUAGGAAUCUGCCUGGUAGUGGGGGACAACGUUUCGAAAGGAACGCUAAUACCGCAUACGUCCUACGGGAGAAAGCAGGGGACCUUCGGGCCUUGCGCUAUCAGAUGAGCCUAGGUCGGAUUAGCUAGUUGGUGGGGUAAUGGCUCACCAAGGCGACGAUCCGUAACUGGUCUGAGAGGAUGAUCAGUCACACUGGAACUGAGACACGGUCCAGACUCCUACGGGAGGCAGCAGUGGGGAAUAUUGGACAAUGGGCGAAAGCCUGAUCCAGCCAUGCCGCGUGUGUGAAGAAGGUCUUCGGAUUGUAAAGCACUUUAAGUUGGGAGGAAGGGCAGUAAGUUAAUACCUUGCUGUUUUGACGUUACCGACAGAAUAAGCACCGGCUAACUCUGUGCCAGCAGCCGCCGCAGUA